rnacentral:tRNA from 1 species
UAGCUCAGCGGUACAGCGUGUGCUUAGCAUGCACGAGGUCCUGGGUUCAAUCCCCAG